rnacentral:rRNA from 1 species
GACGAACGCUGGCGGCGUGCUUAACACAUGCAAGUCGAACGGUGAAGCGCCUUCCUUUUUGGUGGGUGUGGAUGAGUGGCGAACGAGUGAGUAACACGUGAGUAACCUGCCCCCUUCUUCUGGAUAACCGCAUGAAAGUGUGGCUAAUACGGGAUAUUCUGGGUCUGUCGCAUGAUGGGUCUGGGAAAGAUAUUGUUUCGGUGGGGGAUGGGCUCGCGGCCUAUCAGCUUGUUGGUGGGGUGAUGGCCUACCAAGGCGGUGACGGGUAGCCGGCCUGAGAGGGUGGACGGUCACACUGGGACUGAGACACGGCCCAGACUCAGACGGGAGGCAGCAGUGGGGAAUAUUGCACAAUGGGCGAAAGCCUGAUGCAGCGACGCCGCGUGAGGGAUGGAGGCCUUCGGGUUGUGAACCUCUUUCGCCAGUGAAGCAGGCCUGCCUCGUUUGUGGGUGGGUUGACGGUAGCUGGAUAAGAAGCGCCGGCUAACUACGUG